UGGGGAAUAUUGGGCAAUGGGCGAAAGCCUGACCCAGCAACGCCGCGUGAGGGAAGAAGGUUUUCGGAUUGUAAACCUCUGUCCUUGGGGACGAAAAAGAUGACGGUACCCAAGGAGGAAGCCCCGGCUAACUACGUGCCAGCAGCCGCGGUAAUACGUAGGGGGCGAGCGUUGUCCGGAAUUACUGGGCGUAAAGGGUGCGUAGGCGGUUGUUUAAGUCAGAUGUGAAAUCCCCGGGCUCAACCCGGGUAUUGCAUUUGAAACUGGGCAGCUAGAGUGCAGGAGAGGGAAGCGGAAUUCCUAGUGUAGCGGUGAAAUGCGUAGAUAUUAGGAGGAACACCAGUGGCGAAGGCGGCUUUCUGGACUGCAACUGACGCUGAGGCACGAAAGCGUGGGGAGCAAACAG
rnacentral:rRNA from 1 species